CAGUCGCCGCGGUAAUACGGAGGGUGCAAGCGUUAUCCGGAUUCACUGGGUUUAAAGGGUGCGUAGGCGGAUCUGUAAGUCAGUGGUGAAAUCUCCAGGCUUAACCUGGAAACUGCCGUUGAUACUAUAGGUCUUGAAUUUUGUGGAGGUUAGCGGAAUAUGUCAUGUAGCGGUGAAAUGCAUAGAUAUGACAUAGUACACCAAUUGCGAAGGCAGCUGGCUACACAACUAUUGACGCUGAGGCACGAAAGCGUGGGGAUCAAACAGGAUUAGAUACCCCCGUAGUCCCUGUCUCUUAUAC
rnacentral:rRNA from 1 species